UACGUAGGUGGCGAGCGUUGUCCGGAUUUACUGGGCGUAAAGAGCGCGCAGGCGGCUGGUCAAGUCCGAUGUGAAAGCUCCCGGCUUAACUGGGAAAUUGCAUCGGAAACUGAUCGGCUGGAAGGUGGGAGAGGGUAGCGGAAUUCCCGGUGUAGUGGUGAAAUGCGUAGAUAUCGGGAGGAACACCAGUGGCGAAGGCAGCCUUCUGGGCCAACACUGACGCUCAUGCACGAAAGCGUGGGGAGCAAACAGG
rnacentral:rRNA from 1 species